AACGAACGCUGGCGGCAGGCCUAACACAUGCAAGUCGAGCGAGGACUUCGGUCCUAGCGGCGGACGGGAGAGUAACGCGUGGGAACGUGCCCUUUGCUUCGGAAUAGCCCUGGGAAACUGGGAGUAAUACCGGAUGAGCCCUUUGGGGGAAAGAUUUAUCGGCGAAGGAUCGGCCCGCGUUGGAUUAGGUAGUUGGUGGGGUAAUGGCCUACCAAGCCGACGAUCCAUAGCUGGUUUGAGGGGAUGGUCAGCCACACUGGGACUGAGACACGGCCCAGACUCCUACGGGAGGCAGCAGUGGGGAAUCUGAGACAAUGGGGGAAACCCUGAUCUAGCCAUGCCGCGUGAGCGAUGAAGGCCUUAGGGUUGUAAAGCUCUUUCAGCUGGGAAGAUAAUGACGGUACCAGCAGAAGAAGCCCCGGCUAACUCCGUG
rnacentral:rRNA from 1 species